UUUCCGUAGGUGACCUGCGGAAGGAUCAUUAAUGAGUUGUCAUGGGGUUCGAUGCUGGCAGCCAGUUUUUGGAUGCAUGUGCUUGCCCUAACAAUCAUCUUCUUCCAAACACCUGUGCACAUUUUUGAGGGAGUCUUGAGUUGGUUGCCGCUCUUGGGUGAUUUUCUCACAUUCCCUUAAAUCAUUAUACGCUAUUAACAAUGUUGAACGUGCUCUGUGCCGCAAGGCCAUUAAUAUAAUACAACUUUUAACAACGGAUCUCUUGGCUCUCGCAUCGAUGAAGAACGAGC
rnacentral:misc_RNA from 1 species